CUGAGAAUCAGGUGUGGUAAGCUAGCAGCAGUAGCCUCAAGCUGGGAUGAGAGGCUGGCUGCAGAAGUUUGCAGGACGCUCUGAUCAGUAAUAUGUUUUAUCAGUCGUCCAUGGUCAGACAGCCGUCUGAUGUUCCCGCACCAAUCGGAGCAAAAGAGGGCUUGGAUUGUGUUAGCGGAGCCACCAGACGGACGCCCGGGACCCAAAGUCACAGGACCCAAGGACAUCGCUGCCAGGAUCUGGGCAAAGAGCGACAAGGCCGCUAUUGUUGGUCGGAGAGGAACCUCGAGCAGACAAAUGACAAAGAAUUUCAACCAGCCCUCCCCUUACAUCCAAGUGGAGCUACUGUAGAAAUAAAAGAAAACACUGAUUGUAUUUUUACUAAUUAAAUCAUAAAGUUUCCUAAGAACCAUUUAA